GAGUCUGCGAAUGAAGAAAGUUUAAAAAGCCCUUUGAUAGAGCGAGGCUGGAAGCUGGUGCUGGAGGAGACCCAUGCCAGCUUCUAUCCAAACGUUCCUGCCCUGGAUUGUAAAAAACUGCUGUGGCUUCUCGAGAAUCACCAUCCUCAGGAGAGAGACAAUUGAGCACCUGCUACCCACCAGAGACAGACAUCUGUGUCACCGAAUGCCACCGCCUCCCAGCCGUUACCAGACUGUUCCAUUGACCCUUGGUGGCCACCUGGUGUGAUGACCUCACUCUCCCGAUCAGUGGUUGAUGUGACCCAGGACACAGUCCCUGACGCUAAGUAGGGAUCCAAGUUACUAAGCCUGGUGAGGUAAGAAUUACCUU
rnacentral:lncRNA from 1 species